AAUUCAAACCAUGCCACAUUUGUUGUGGUUUGAAAUGCUUCUUGGUUUGAAAUUGUUAAAACCAGUUUGAAAAAAAUUCAAACCAUGCCACAUUUGAAACCACAACAUACUCCCGCUCUGUACCCUACUGCAAAAAUCUUCUCCUCCGUCGCUUAACAAGUAUAAAUAAUAUCGUAGUACAUCGCAAAGAGUACAAUAAGUGAUUCUCGCUUUUUAAUGUUAAAAUGAUACCGCAUGUCACUCUCAAUGCAGAGACAAGACCUCUCCAAUACGCCACCUCUCUCUUCGAGACAAAAAGAAUUCUCAGGAGAAAUCUUGGGAGAUUAUUGCAGCCGGUGAAAGGAAACCACUUAUAUUAAUCAAGCCGUGCAUGACUGAAUUUUAUUUUAGUCCAGGAUGAAAUUCCUCAUCGCAAUCCUAGUAGCCUUUUUAUUGACGAUUGCUCAGUUGUCGGAAUGCAGAGGCGCAUACGAGGAUGAAUUUACAGGGUUUGAAGAAUCCCUCCCAGCCAAGAGAUGCAUCGGUCACAACGCCCCAUGCACCAGCUCUUCGUAAUGCUGCCAUUCGGAGCAGUCUAUCUUUGGUAAAGGUGGCGAUGGAAAGAAACUAUGCUAUAUACUCCUUGAAUUUAGGGGUUGAAGAAUCCCGUCCAAGAGAUGCCUCGGUCACAACGUACAAAAAUUAAUACCUCUAGCUGCCUGAGGAGAAACUAGUGUGUGUGUUAAAAUGGUCACUCCAAGUUUGAAAUGUUUAAUCAGAAUGUAAUGACAUUAAAAGCUUUUGUAAUAAAUUUGUUUACGUA